rnacentral:rRNA from 1 species
ACGCUCGACACCUACGGAGGCAGCAGUGGGGAAUAUUGCACAAUGGGGGAAACCCUGAUGCAGCGACGCCGCGUGAGCGAAGAAGUAUUUCGGUAUGUAAAGCUCUAUCAGCAGGGAAGAAACUGACGGUACCUGACUAAGAAGCACCGGCUAAAUACGUGCCAGCAGACGCGGUAAUCUGAGCGGGCUGGCAAGGC